rnacentral:rRNA from 1 species
AUGUCAACCGACAACCGUAUCUGGAAACAACGAUUAGUGGAUAUUGGUACUAUCACUGCACAUCAAGCAAAUGAUUGGGGAUUCAGUGGUGUAAUGUUAAGAGUGAAGUGGUGGGCCUACCCAUCCCAACCUGGGGUAUACUGGGAUUCGCGAAGAGCAGCACCUUAUGAUGUUCAUGUCCAAUCGAAUCUUGACGUACCAGUAGGUACUAGAGGAGAUCGCUAUGAUCCUUACUGUAUCCGUAUUGAAGAGAUGCGAAAAAGUGUUCGGAUCAUUGUGUAA